GGCGGGAGGCGGAAGUGGGGGAGGGGCGGCGGGCACACUCACCCGCCUCUCGCCCGGCAGCCUAAGGUAGCCCCUUCGAGCGUGACGACUCGUUCUUCCAGGGCGGGCAAAAAGUUACCCAGACGCAUCUUUCCUCCCUCUGACCAGCCGGACUCCUCCGCACUCCACCCUCGCCGCCGAUGCCGGUGCGCUGGAGUCCGCGCGUUCGAAUGCACUUGCUGCGCCCCCGCCCAGCGCGGACCCGCUGCGGGCACACGCGCCGGCUCUCUGCCCACGCACACUUGCUGUUCUCCGAACCUGGGCAGCGCCCACGCGAAGACUCCACACCCACACCCUGACUCCCGGCACCCUCGGCCACACUUGCCACGCUUACGCGCGCACUUCUCGAAAAGGCGCACUCUGGUGAAGAAAGGACACAGAAACUGAAAUAAAAAGGUGAAGGAACUUGUCCAAGGCCCUACAGCAGUAAGCGAUGGAGCUGGAAUUUGAACCAGGGAAGCACGCUGCCAUAUUGUCAACAGCCCUGUAGCGAGGACCAUGUGGCAAGGAACUCAAGAUUCCAGCCAACAGCCAGUGAACAACUGAAGCCUAUCAGCAAUCACG